UUGCCUAAAGAGAAGUUUCCAGCAGGAGUCAUCAUUACGGCAAAUAAAAAGGGCUGGAUGGAUGAGGAAAUGAUGACUGAGUGGCUGAGGGAGGAGACCAGGUGGUUUUUUCCACGCAUCACCAUCGCUGUUGAUCUGUGACUAUGCGUGCCCAUCUCACAGCCGAUGUGAAAAAACAAGUGAAGCAAAUGAAUGCCGAGCUUGCUAACAUGCUAACAUGUUUGCUGGCACUGUUGUUCGAGCUUUCGUAAAAGCCGGCAUCAUAUCCAAGGAGCCACACGGCACGGAAAGUGACUCUGCCAGUGAAGAAAGUGAACCUGGCACGUCUGUUGGAGAUUUAGCGCUGCUGUUCAAUUCGGAAACAGAGGAUGAAGACUUCGAUGGGUUUAAUUGAUGACCAUUACCGGUAAUAAAAAUGUGAAUACCAAAUUCA